rnacentral:lncRNA from 12 species
AGAGAGCGAGGGAGAGUCUCACUCUACCCUCAAACUGCACAUAAUGAGAAAGGAAACCUCUGGGCCAAGUUCAGAAAGAUUAUACUAGCUCUGUGGAUUGCAAA